UUCAAUGGCGUCUUCGUUUCUCAGUGCCUUGCAACUCAAAAUUCUUCUCAUUCUUGGAAAUUCCUGUAGUGAACUAUAAAAAUCAUUUGGAAAUUCCUCGACUGUUAGGUGUUCUCAUUUGGUAAUCGAAUUCCUCAACAGUUGGAGGUUGUGGCAAUCAGAAGCUCAACCUGAUUAACAAUGGCUUCCAUUAUUCUCCAGUUGCUGGAUUCCUUCAUCUAAAUGUUGCUGUUAUUUGCUCAUAAUGCCAAGGAAGUGGAGUUGAUGCUGUUGAUUUCUUCAAUGGACAAUUCAUAGCCGGUGCAUCUUGUUGGUUGUGCGGUGGGAACAAAGGAAAUGCUGUGUGGGAAUUGUAAAGGAGAUGGCUUCUUUGGAGGUUUUUCUCAGCACUUACGAUCAAUAGAGGUAUGUAUUGUUAGUUUGUUUAUGCUUGUGCAUAUAUUAAGUAUCCUGUCAUCAACAAUGGCGGUAACAUUUAGGCAUACUGGUAUCAUAUUCAAGUUCCUGACAUUAAGUCCUGGCAAUCUUUCAUAUAAGAUUUGGCACAGUUGUGAAUCUCAGGAGGUCAUGCUCUGAUCAAUCAGUUUUGCAUUUUGUACUUUUGGUUUACUAAUUGAUAAAUGCCUCAUAAAUAACAUUAGCUUUUCAUAGUUUGUGCAAA